rnacentral:snoRNA from 1 species
AGACCAUGAUGAAGACAUUUCCUCAACAGCUCCUUGAAUCUUUCCCAAGUUUCAUAUAAGAAUUCUCCAUCCUCUUGUGAAUACGUAUUGAUUUCAGUCAAAAAUUU